AAAGUUUCAUUAUAGAUAGAUUAUAAUUGAAAUUUUUGUGGUUGAAGCACCCGAAGGGACACCGGGUGCUUUU
rfam:Paraprevotella clara CAG:116 genomic scaffold, scf78